CGCGAGGUCCAAGAACCCUCUCUUGGGGUCUGGAUUAGGACCCCUUCCCUGUAACAUUUUUCUGGCUACCAUAAAGGGACCCAAAGGCUAACUAGGUAAGUGGUGGUGUCUGGUGACAUCUUUCUGGUGAACAUGGAAGGGACGAUGCUGAGGAGAUCCCCCAACCCAAAGGAAAGAGACUAUGGCACUGAUUGGCGGCCUUCAGGUAAGUGGGGUGCAUAUAGCCAGGUAAAGAAUGGGAUUGAAUUAGAGGCCCAACUUAGGGGAGUUAGAGUCUCUCUUAAGAAUGAGUGGGUUAGAGGCCCCUCUUCAUAAAAGGCACGGAUGCUUGACCAACCUUGGGUUAGAAGCCCAAUUUAGGAGGGUUAGAGUGCCUUCUAAGAUUCAGGGGUUUAGAGGCCCCUCUUGGUAAAGUCCCUCUCAUUAAAGUCCCUCUCAGCUAAGAACGGGUUUGGUACUACAGGAUGUUAACUGCUAUUCUCUUUGGAAUAAUCUGCCUUGCUCUUUGCUAAUAGCUGUGAGUGACAGAAUUAGGCAUGUACGGGAUUGUGGGACAUGGGGAGCUUUUUCUUCCCUAAAAGGGGAAACUUGAGAGCUGAUGAGACUGCUGGAAAAGAUCCCUUUGCUACUGACAAGCAGCUGCCUGAACUUUUCAAUGUUGCUGCAAUGGGUGGGUCUUUCUCUGGCCUCCCUGAGCGCCUUGCCUUCCCACCCUGCUGCAGGCAAUGCUUUUCCGCUGUUUCUCUCUCUGUGCAAACUGGUUGAAUGAAUGGUAAAAAUCACUGUUUAUCUCCUCUGUAAAGUUUGAUUAAUGGAAAAAAGGAUUUGUGAGGCUAGUCUUAAGCUGUAGCCAAUCUGGUGUGCUUUAUGUGUCUUUCUUUAUUGUUCUGUCACAAUGAGGGGUCCCUAGGGAUAGAACAUGGGCUUAGGACACCUGUAAGACUGCUGUUCAAGGUGACCCAGCAAACUGGCUAACCGUGCUUAUUCCUGCAAACCAACCAGUGAUCUCUGACUGCUGCUCAGAAGAAACAAGAGGGAUGGAUAUCACCUCUUAUUGGAACUCAAGAGUCAUGAAUGGCCCUUGCCAUACUGAUGCUUUCUGACUGAGCUCCUCUCUACCCUGAACACAAGAGACCCUAGAAGUUAGGCAGGAAUAUCAUUGCGCCUAUUCAGCUUGAAGAAGCUACUGGGCUGCAUUCCUAGAUGGUUCAGGCAUUCUAAGUCACAGGAUGAGAUAGGAGGUCAGCACAAGAUACAAGUCAUAAAGACCUUGCUGAUAAAACAGGUUGCAGUAAAGAAGCUGGCUAAAACCUACCAAAACCAAGAUGGCGAUGAAAGUGACCUCUGGUCGUCCUCACUGCUACAUUCCCACCAGUGCCACGACAGUUUACAAAUGCCAUGGCAACAUCAGGAGUUACCCUAUAUGGUCUGAAAGGGGGAGGCAUGAAUAGUCCACCCCUUGUAUACCAUAUCAUCAAGAAAUAACCAUAAAAAUGGGCAACAAGCAGCCCUCAGGGCUACUCUGUCUAUGGAGUAGCCAUUCUUUUAUUCCUGUACUUUCUUAAUAAACUUACUUUUGUUUUGC
rnacentral:lncRNA from 1 species